AUCCAGCAGAAGAAUCCCAAAUAGGAUGAAACGUGCAUCCUGGAU
rfam:Schistosoma mansoni strain Puerto Rico chromosome 1, complete genome